AGUGAACUGUCCUUUUGGCUGGAUUCUUUAUCAGUGACUUCGUUAGUUUCCUUCCUUAUUAGCUGACCUUGUUAUAGCUUUGAGGCUCUAAAUAGAAAUUCCUUAUUUGAAUAAAAUAAGGGCCUCCUAAUUUUUUAAUAUUUCAGUUCUGGUGGGGGAAAAAAACCCACCCCAGAAUUCACCUUUUGGCAGUUUCAACUUCCUCAAGUCACUGAAGGUGACAGCAAACACAGCUACUGCUUUGCAAAGCACUGAAGUUCCAAGGUUAUCUUCCUAAAUCAGAGCUACACAUCUACAAUUAAUUCAAUGUCCACAGAGGCUUCCAAAUGUAAUCUAACACUCCUGUUGUCUGGUACUUGGAAGCCUUGCUACUUCUUCUCUGCUCAGGACGAAACUGAAGAUAUGUCGCUAGAUAAGCUAUUUUUCAUACUUUGCACUCUUGCAGAGACCUCAGCCCCAGGAACCAUGUCACUAUAUGUAAGAAGGCUAUUGAAAUAAGCAUUUUGCUUUUGUGAUUAGAGAGAAAAAUAUGGGAAAUUGCCCAAAUGUAUUUUAGAGCUUACAAGCCAGAGGAUAUUUAUUCCAAGUGUAUUUGCUUUAAAAAAAAUGUAAAGUUAAGGGAGUUGAAUGAUUUCUGAUUUUUUUGCCUCUGUGGCAUCACAAUUCCUAAAUCUGCAAUAAAGAGUGCAAAAUGGUAGUUUGGAGCUCAGGGAUUAAGAGGUACCAUCCUUUGGUGAGGUCCAGGCAGGUCCAGGAGGAGCAAGGCAUCCAGACCUGUCUCCUGCUGGCUCAUUCUCCAGUGUAUUCCACCCACUGCACCGCAGAAAUGCAGAUCGCCUCCCAGAGCGACCGACACAAGGCUGCCUUCUUUCCACAGACGUGUGUAUGUACCUAUGGUGUUCUUCAAAGAUCUCUUUAGGCUUUGGAAAGUAGCAGAAUGGCAGUUUGAGCAGUGGUGUCUCUGCCAGACCUGUGACACCCUACUGGACCCUGCAGAAUUUUCUGGCUCUGAAAGCCCGAGCGAGCCUGCAGCAGCCUGGUGUCGCACUAACGGCUCUAGAUCACAGCGACAUUUCCCCAGGCCUGAUCCUGUGCCUACUGGAGCAAGCAGCAAGCCUCGCGCCGCAUCUGUAUGACUGACGUUUGCUCUCCAGAGUAAAUGCUGAUCUCAUCUGCCACUGAGAGCAUGACGAACCACUGAGCUGGCAAGAGUAAAACCUGCACGACUCACAUCGAUCAGAAAAGUGACUCGGCACAGCCUACCUUACUUUGGAGUCAGUUAGGAACUAGCCUCCUCAGGGCCUGAUUCUGGCAGGGAUGAGACAUUUGGUUAUGGUGUAAAAACGAGGAUGAGGGGAGCCAGGGCAAAUACCCGUGUUCUGGCUAGCGGCUCUCUUCUUGCCUCUACUUCCAACAUACCACGAUCUUUAUUUAACUUUUCCUGGAAUUUGGCCUCCAUAAGGUGACAUAACUGGGACUUGAAAAAUCCAUUAUAGAAAAAAAAUCUCAUAUGUUUCUACACUUUGCUAAAACAAAUAGACAAAUACAGCUGUCUGAAUGAUACAGGUCAUCUGAAUUAUAUUCUUCAUUAUUACUCACUCUUGAGACAUAUAGAAGUAACUGCUCAAAUGUAGGCCAGGGACGAACAGCCGUCCUUCACCUCCCCAUGUAGGCAGGACUGGCAGCAUUUUAAUCACCUUCCUCCACAGGAGCCUCCCAAGCUUCAGUAGCUGAAAACCAAAAUGAAGUCUUCAAAACCUGUUAAAUGGGGUUUGCAGCAACCUCAUUUAACAGGCUCUCAUGUGGUAACAGUCCCUUUAAUGGCCAUCCCAAAUGGGUGUCAGCAGAGGGUCUGGUCCUCCGUAGUUUUGUUUAUGGAGGUAGCCUUUGGGAGCUGAACAGCUAGAGAGGAUGGGAAAGGAAAGGAAAGGAGGGGGUAGUGCUGAUUUGUGGAUGCCCAUUCUUGCUGUGAAGACUAGCGCGUUCUCCCUGCCCAGAAAUGGCAAUGUUCUCACUGCCUUUUUCUUCCCCUUAGUUCAGGCUAAGAUACUUAAGGCUUCUCUGGGGUGAGCAAGUGCAGGCAUCCAGGAUGCUCUUAGCUUUGGCAGCCCUGCCUUGCCUGGAAGCUCCUCAGGCACCAGAGCCACUGAAACAUGGAUUUACUGGCUCAGGAGGUUUCUAGCAGGCCACAAACCCAGCAGGGGCUGAUCUUAGAUCAGUCACAGCAGUCGCAACGUAUGAUGUCCUCCUAACAGUCUGAAUACAGGGCAUGAAGCAGAAUAUAUUUCAGCUGCUCCCAGCCUAGCACCUGUCAAACACACAUAGCUGAUCUCACUGCCUGAACUCCAAAUAAAGGGUAGGGGUGCUGGGCCUUUCCAUGGCUGGUGAGUUCUGGUGCUCCUUGAUGUCUGUGCGUGUUCCCAUUAAUUUCAAAAGUGACGGGACAACACACAGAGAACUCUGACUAGUUGCUGCAGGUGACAGGUGUGAGCAGAACUGGUACCAAACCCACCCACGCAUCACCCUUCACUUAAUUCUGGUGCUUAAGCAAAACAUCUUUGCUAUAAUAUUACAAAGACUCGCAUCCUUUGUACUUUGGUCUAAUUUGAAAAAUGCAUCCUGUACAAGAAAAGGCAACAUUGGCAGCUGUGUACUAAUUACGUAGGAGUGUGUGAAACCAGAGUAUGGAAAAAAUUAAACACCACCUCAUUCUGUUUUUAAAAUUUCUUUCAACCUAGCUGAUUACGCACAGCAUUUUUCAUUCUUUGCACUGAAGGUUCAGUGAACAGUGAUCCUUUUGCAGUGGGAUAAUUUUGAAAAAGUAUUCAGGUCUCAGGGUUCUUAAUUUCCUUACAGUAAUUUUAGCCCCUUGUUUAGAAAUUAAUUUAGUUCCUGUCCUGCUCUGUGCAAUAGUAUUCUGCAUAUUCCUGCACAAAUUUAAUGCCAGAUAGUUGCAAUAAGCCUAGGUGUUUCACACCUGCCUCCUAGAAGGGACAAUGUAACAUUCUGCACAUACAAACCCUGAAAGAGAGUGAUCGAAGAACAGAGUGAAAGAGACCCAGCUCCUGCAUUGCUGAGGAAGUUGCUGAGCUGGGAUCAUGGAGCUCCUUCCCAUGUAGCAGGAGGAAAGCCAAGGAGAGACCUCAAAUAGCUUCUUUUAUUUUGUAGGCUGAAAUUUUUAUUUUGAAUGCUGUGCAAUCCUUGUUUACCAACCUUCCCCUGAUUCCACACCAAAGAGGCAGAAAUGACAAGAGACUUGUCAAGCUGUCAAUCCUGAAGGGACUGCCUUCACACACAGCCUGAAGCUGUCACUCAAGGGAAGAACAUAGUCUGAAACUUCUGCUCCUUCUGUUUUGUUUACAAAACAAAUGAUUCCAUGCUGAGAGGAGGGCAGAAAAGCGGACAGAUGUGAGCCGGGAAAAAAAGUGUCAGUGAGACUCCAGAAAGGACUGGCAGAUCCUUCUAUGUCUUUGCUUUACGCUGUAACCCUCAGUGCAGGUCCCUGCUCCAGUACUUCCUCACACUGCCUUUUGCAAUGAUCACGAGAGGCUCACGUGCUCCAUGUAUGAUCCAGGCACUGUUUGCCGUAUCAGUCUUGGCCUGAAGUCAAACAGCGCUAUCACAGAACAGGUCAGAAUGGCUGCGCACUGCUACGUUAUUGGAAGGAAGGGCCACUACCAGCGACGUACCCUGAGUACAGAUAGACGUUUUAUUACAUUAAGUUGGCAGUAUUUUCCAGGUAGAACUGGAGUAAAGUUAGGACAGCAUAACCACCCACGCCUAAAAGCAGAGGCCAAAAUAACCUGGCUUUGCGUGGGACUGAGGGAGAGGGAGCCCAGCUUGCAGCUCUUUGGCAGAGUCCCAGGCUUUGUGAUCUGCUAGUCUGGCUCUGGGACUGGAAUACAACUAUCAUCUAUUUGCUUCUCCCUGUGUAUCUAGACCUCUCUUCCCAUGGCUUCAGAUCCACUACAUGUCUGUGAUAGGCCAGAGUAAUGCUUCUCUGCCUGGAGAGGGACUUCACCAGCAAUUUGCCACUCAGGAAAACAUCUUGAAAGAUGGGGGGGGGCGGGGGGGGGGGGCAGUUUUCCCCUAUGCUAUUAUUGUGCAUUGCCUAGAAGACUUUCAACCCAGACCUAACAAGCCAAGGUUUCAGCAGGAGAGCGGUGCCUCAGGGGCCAGUGUUCACCCGCCUGGCAGGAUGUCUGCAUGGCCGGGUGGCUGGGCAAUGCCCCUGCUGGGCAGCACGCACCGGCCCGGGGCCAGCACCUUCAUCCAGGACCCCACAUCACUCAUGGGGCAGAGCUCAGCUAGAGAAGAUGUGCCCAAUAUGUCCCAGACCUUCCCACCAUAAGCACCUGCCCUUCUGUCCCCUUUUCCAUGGCAUCCCUGUUCAAAAUCUUUCCUACUUUUCCCUCUCUCCUCCAGGGCUGGGCUGUCAAAGCCCAUUUCUAAUCAGCAGCUCACAAUCACAGUCUGGGAAAGGACCUCCAGAGAUCCAUUAGCCCACCUCUGUGCUUCCAAAUAGGAUCCACUGGAGCUGUGUCACUCCUGACAUUUGCAUCACCACUUCCACAAUGAGAAGCAAAGCAGCCUGCUAAAGCUCUGAAUCAGUAGCUCAUGACCAAGAGCGUGCUGUGCAAAGAGGAGUCCAUUUAAAGGCAUGAGAGGAGAGGUCUGCUGGCGUUAGUGGGCUGGGCCAGGCACUGGGGAGUGAGAUCUGUGGGGGUCUGCACCUAUUUUUUGCAGCAGUCCCUGGACUAAUUCUGGCAGUGAAUCUCCUGUCUGGGGAGAAACCUUGUUGUUUUGCUCCCCAAGGGAUCCUGGCGUAGCGUGCAGGGCGGUGGGCAGUGGGAAGGGAUGAGGCAGGUUUUCCUUAGGUGUCUGCUGGGGCACGUUCCCAUUCGUUAGGCUACAUGCAGUACUCCUACAGACACUGGGGAGUCUGUGAUUUUUUUCUAAAAAAAUCUCUAAAAGCUGAGGAAGAAAUCAAGCCCGCUGUCAGUAAAUGCAAGUUUAUAUUUUGUAUUAAAUGUUAAUUUGCCAUUCAGGGAUCAGCGCUUCCACAGGGAAACACCUGCACCAUGCCCUGAUGUAGCUUCUUCUGUUGGCUGGCUGGGUGUCUUAGUGCCUAUGUUACAUCAGUGGCAGAAAUGCCAUCGAUGUAACUACACAGCCACAGAAGUAUUCCACUAUCCUCCUUCACGCACAGGAACAGCUACCCAGGUGUGAACGCUGUAGCCGCACAGGUCCAUAUUACUUUACAUUGCUGCAGUUUGUCUUAUAAAAUACAAAGGAGUGUUGUGAUAGCUUUUGCUGAUUUUUCUCUCUCCCAGUCCUCAGCAUGCAGGUGACAGGUGACACAGUUCAGUUAGCAGAUGCCUGUCCACAACCAGACACCUGACAGAUAAAGCCUCCGACUCAGUCAUGUUUUUACUGGGGGCUUUUAGUUUUGAGUAAUAGCAACAGGGGAAACACUGGGGAAUGUUGUCAUGUUUAACGGACACAUCUAAGCAAGAUAACAUAAUAUAAUGAACUGAGGGACCAGGGAACAGGCUUCUGCUUAAAGCCUUUACUUAAAAACUAUCCUUCAGAUAUGUUAAAACAUAGCUCACCCCACGCCAAGAUUCAGCCUGAAGCCUAUAUGCUGCUAAAUCAUACUUAAAACUGCCUCUUAAUAUAGAAUUACAUCACUUCAGUCACACAAUCACUAGAUUUAUGCGUUUCUCUUCACUCAUUUGUCAUGAUAAAGUUUUUUUACUUCUAAAUUUGCCCUGGUAACUCGGACACUUGUCUGUGAGUAGCCUGCAAAGCCCUAGCUGGCUUCAGUUACUCAGGAGAAGCUUGAAGGCAUCCAUCCAUCUCUUUGGAAAACUUAAUGAAGAUACAAAUGACACAUAACCUGGGCUUUGGACUGGGAUGACUUUCUUCCAGGCUGAAUUACCCUUGGAUUAAUAGCUACUGAAGCCUCCUGUUACAAGACUGGUUACAGCAGUUUAUGCAUACACACACACGCACCUCCCUCCUGUAAUACAUUUUGAGCACUUCUAGAGAAACCACUAUUAAAAAUGAAAGUAAAAUGAAUGGAUUAGAUUGGCGAAUACAAUUUCCACAAUAUUAUUUAUUCAUUCUCUUUCCUGUUUUUAUGACCUUUUAAUAUACGGUAUGAUGGCUUAAUGAUAUUCUGCUAUUUUCCUUGCUCAGGCUUUCAUGGGAGUAGCAAUAGGCUGGAGGUACCUUUCUCAGCUGGAUUUAGGGAUCUUUCUCACGUACAGUUUCCUGCCAAAGCUAAGGGGGACUGCGUCCACCUUGAUCAAAAUCAGAACAUUUGACUGCUAAUUACAGGACUGACAACACUUUCUUUUGUAUUCAGAGACACAACCCCACCUCGCUGAGACUUUUGCUACCUGGCACGGAGGCUCUGCCACAUCAGGCUCCAAUCCUUUGUCAAUUUUUUUCCAUACAAAUAUGCUCUUAAAAAUGCUAAAAUUGCAUUUUGUUUUCUAUCACACCAGAAGUUAUUGUGAAUGAGUGAUAUGCUUAAGACCACACACAGUUUGUAUUUUUUAAUUUUAGAUCUCCCAGUAGUAAAUUUUCCCUUUCCCUUGCCAUUUUUUUCCCCCUUUUCUUCUCUUGCUUGGAGAGACAACUGCUCAUUUGCUGUUGUACCCUGGGAAGAACAGUGAUGUAUGGUUUAUUAAGAUAGCUCAAACACAUAAGCCCUUGACUGCUACAGGACAAGUGAUUUAUAGGUGUUUGCUAAUGGACUCCUGCUCGGGGCCCUUGGGGGGCUUCCAUUUAAUUUUGUACCAAGGGCAAAUUAUGCUGAAGAGCCAGGUGUAAUUGGCAUAUGAGUCAUUUGAUAAGUUAAUGGUACAGCACUCUUUAGCCUUCCCUGAAUUUGCCUUACCAUCUAUCUUCAUGGCACAACAUCAACAUCAUUACUGAGGUCUGUAUUUCAUGGCAAGGCAGAAGUAAUUUUUCACUUAUUACAUUCCUUGCCUGCUCCCACCUGAUAACCUGUCUCGCCUGCAAUGCUUCCAUUUCCCUCUUACUCUGAAGUAGUUUGGUUCAUUUCUGAUAUACACAGCUGAAUCGCCGUGACUAAGGCUUAGCAUGUGCGAUGUGUUGGGUUUCUCCAAUCAAUUAUAUUUUAUCUGUCUGUAAAGAACAGAUACUGCUUUUACAGGGCAUCACAUCUUGUCAGCUGAUGAAAAAAAAUAUGAUCCAAGCAGGAACUAGCCAGCUACCACAUGGUGUUAAAAACACUGAUAUAUUGCAUGGGUCGUUGCUUUACUUUACAUGCAUAAGGGAACUGGAAUCAGCUAAGCAAACCUUACAUAUUAUGUCAGUAGUAAUAUUUCUGUUCUGACCAUUAGCAUGGAAAUUGCCUAGCUGUGCUGAGAAGCAGAGUCAAAACUAACGUGUGCACUGCAACACAAGGUAUAUAAUUAAGACUAUGCUGGUAUUAAACCAGACAAACAACAAAGAAUUUUUCUAAAAACGAGGCUAUGUCUAGAUCAGGGAGACCACCUCUGUUUCUGAGGCUGGAGUACACUGCCUGCACGGACCUGGACUCCUUGUGGGGGGUUGGACCAUGCAUCUCAGAGCACCAGUGGAAAGAUCUAGGCACAGCCUCAAUGCAACCUGUUUCUGAGUUGUCCCACACAUUUCUGAAGGCUUGCGGUGACAUUUUUUUUUUUUUCCAUAAAAUAUUUUUUCUCAUGUUUGGUCUUUUUUGUCCUUGUUGCUCAAAAAAUAACUAGGGGGUGGGAAGGAAGCCUGCAAUAAUCCACAAGCACAAUGAAAAAAAAAUGUUUAAUAAAGACCCAAUUACUCUGCA